GACGAACGCUGGCGGCGUGCCUAAUACAUGCAAGUAGAACGCACAGUUUAUACCGUAGCUUGCUACACCAUAGACUGUGAGUUGCGAACGGGUGAGUAACGCGUAGGUAACCUGCCUGGUAGCGGGGGAUAACUAUUGGAAACGAUAGCUAAUACCGCAUAAUAUUGAUUAUUGCAUGAUAAUUGAUUGAAAGAUGCUAUUGCAUCACUACCAGAUGGACCUGCGUUGUAUUAGCUAGUAGGUGAGGUAACGGCUCACCUAGGCGACGAUACAUAGCCGACCUGAGAGGGUGAUCGGCCACACUGGGACUGAGACACGGCCCAGACUCCUACGGGAGGCAGCAGUAGGGAAUCUUCGGCAAUGGACGAAAGUCUGACCGAGCAACGCCGCGUGAGUGAAGAAGGUUUUCGGAUCGUAAAGCUCUGUUGUAAGAGAAGAGCGGGUGUGAGAGUGGAAAGUUCACACUGUGACGGUAUCUUACCAGAAAGGGACGGCUAACUACGUG
rnacentral:rRNA from 1 species